rnacentral:rRNA from 1 species
CCUACGGGAGGCAGCAGUAGGGAAUAUUGGACAAUGGGUGAGAGCCUGAUCCAGCCAUGCCGCGUGCAGGAAGAAGGCGUUAUGCGUUGUAAACUGCUUUUGCCAGGGGAUAAAACGGUUCUGCGGAACUAAUUGAAGGUACCUGGUGAAUAAGCCACGGCUAACUACGUGCCAGCAGCCGCGGUAAUACGUAGGUGGCAAGCGUUGUCCGGAUUUAUUGGGUUUAAAGGGUGCGUAGGCGGCCCUGUAAGUCAGUGCUGAAAUAUCCCGGCUUAACCGGGAGGGUGGCAUUGAUACUGCAGGGCUUGAGUACAGAUGAGGUAGGCGGAAUUGACGGUGUAGCGGUGAAAUGCAUAGAUAUCGUCAAGAACACCGAUAGCGAAGGCAGCUUACCAAGCUGUAACUGACGCUGAGGCACGAAAGCGUGGGGAUCAAACAGGAUUAGAUACCCUGGUAGUCCACACUGUAAACGUUGAUGACUCGAUGUUGGCGAUACACAGCCAGCGUCCAAGAGCAAUCGUUAAGUCAUCCACCUGGGGAGUACGCCGGCAACGGUGAAACUCAAAUGAAUUGACGG